rnacentral:misc_RNA from 1 species
AAAAAAAAAUUCAAAACACAAAAACAGUCUUUGAAGGAGUCUGAAUGCCACCACCUACCAAUCACGAAGACCCAUAACCGCCUAGCCAUCAAACCCAAGCACCACCACCCCCCAUCGAUUCGCGACCCUUAGGCAACCCUAGAGCAGCCAUUUCGAUCGCCGUAAGGCACCCACAACUGAAGAUCCUCCUGGGUUGGAUUUGGACCCAAAUCUCAACAUGCCUUAAUCCAUUCAGAUUCCGACACUUGGAACCUUCCCCGCUGGUUGAAAUUCGCCGAUCUGCCAGUUUCUCGUGUCGAAAAUUAAAUUGUUGAGAAUUAGUUCUCUUUUUCAA